AUCCCAAGUACAGAUCCAUCUCCCUAAACAAUGGACACUGUCUCAGUCUGUAGCAUACCCAAGCUAGGAAAUGAGGGUUCUGUAGGGCAAAGGGGGUACUUUCCCCUUCUGCUGGGUUCCAGCAGACAUGGGGAUGGAGAAUGGGAUAAGCCCUGGCUACACCCCAAACUAGUUGGACUACUCCCUUUUUGAGAUGCUGGUGUAGCCUUGGGCUCAAUGGCUUCUCCCUAGUGCUCAGUGAGUGCUCCUAUCUGCAUAUUAUGUGGUUGAGGAGGGGAGUGCUGCAGAAGAAGUAUGGGCUUUCCUCCACAAGUCAAAAUGAAGUUUAGCUUCUGGUUGUUCUGGCCAGUGAUGUGUUGUAAACCAUCCUCUUUUCUUUUUUACAAGUUUGCAGUAAAAUGCUGAAUCCUGUGGACUCCAACAUGGAGUCAAAGCCUUGUCAAACAGUUGGGAAACAAAGUCUGACAGAACUCCAAGAAAGUGGUGGGAAUCAAACCAGUUUCUGAAGGAAAAGAUGCAAGUUCCACCCCAUUCUAUUAGACCACAGUGACAGCAGCUGUGUGGAAGGCUGGAGCUAGCCAGCAUAAGCUGGCUGAAGGAAGCUGUGAUAGGUUGCUAGUGCCUGGAGGCCAAGCAGGUCAGGGCCUGGUUCUGGACAAAUCUGGUAAAUGACAAUCCCUGCUCCAAAGAGCUUAUGUGCUAGGAGACAAAGAAUCACAGGUGGAUAAGACACACAAGUGGAUUGGGAUGGGGAUUGAGGGGAGAUGGAAUAACAACAGGUAAUAAGAUGUUAUUUAUUAUUUGUAUUGUGGUAGCAUCAAGGAGCCUCAGUCUGGACCAGGACCCCAUUGUACAAGGUAUUGUACUAACAGAACAAAGAGUUGACAGUCAAAGCAAUGUGUGUGGUUCUUAGCCAACCGGUAGCUGUAAUCACAGCUGAGCAUGUGCCUAAUAAAGUGAAAGUUCAGAGGCAUGACUUCAGUGAGGAAUAAUCUACACCCACUUUGCUAAGCAAUUGUUGGGAGAAAGCACAGAGCACACUGCUGGGUGGAUUCUGCGUAUCUCACACUUACCUAUGAGUUCGGUCUCAUUUUUCUGGCUAAACUCAGCUGUGGCCAGCGUAAGCCAUGCAAAAGGUUAACAAAUCAGAAGAGAGUUAAGUGUCAAAGCAAAGCAUGUUCCCUACUCAGGGUAAUGCUGAGCUACUCUGGAUUGAGAUUAAAAAUGUGGAAGGACAGCAAGAGAUGUCAGUCAUGUCGCUCACCCUGAAGCUGGGAUGAGUUCUCUAGCCACCUGCUGAGUACUGUAGAACUGAAGCCCUGCUUGGAACCACAAGGUACUUUGAUUGACCAAUAAGUGCACAGAUCUCCCACUGUUCAGGAAAAGGAUGAACUACAGAAAUGCUACAAAAAGAUCAAAUCAGAAACUCUGAAACUUGGCUCUAACUAGGGGAGGAAGAAAAUGCUACCUUUGUCUUUUAAAACAAACACAACUUUACUUUGGGUUGCCUCCCCAAAAGCUCUAUACAAUGGGAAAUAAUCAAGGUACAGAGAGAAAGUAUGUGCAGUCACAGAAGGAGUGAAGUUCCAAAGUAAAGGCAAGGGAGGAAAAGAAAUGUUCUCAGCUGAGAUCUGACGAGAUGGAGGAGAGAGUAAAUGAGGCAGAGAAGCCACUCAAGGUCACAAGAGCUGCAGAAAAGCCUUCUGUGACCUUACUGGCUGUUUUCCACAUGGCCAGCCAUUCGCAAGCUGAACUGCAGAUGCACCCUGGAAAUGUUAUGGGUUAUACUUCACUGCCCAUGUGUAAAAAUGCAUCUCUGCUUGGUAACAGAUUUGACCAUUUCUCGGCAGGAGGGAUUUUCUGUCUAUUUUGCAAAUGAUUGGUCAGAUCCAGGUAGGUUGGUUGCCUCUGUGGGAGUAGUGUCCCAUAGAAGCAAAUAAUUUUAAACCAAUGCUAAUAACAUCCUUGCUCACAAAGUCAUUGCUUGAUGUUAACAACUCCCCCAAUUAUUGCUCUCUCAAAUCUUACCUUUUUGGGGUUGUCUGCUCCAGAUUCAUUUAGAUUCUUCUUUCUAUCUUGCUGGUGUCAGGCUUGGCACAGAAGCAGAACUGGUAUGCUUGGCUGAUGAUGUAUUGAGUUUGGAGAAAGGUCAGGUGUCCAUGCUGAUCUGACUAGGUUUCUCAGGAUGCUUUGAUUUGUUUGACUGUGAGUUGCUGCUCACAAACCUGCAUGAGCUGAAAGGGAGGCUAAGUGAUAUGCUACACGGCCGAUCAGGAAGAGCCAUCUUUGGGCACAGUAAAGAAAAAGCAAGAUUCUGUGAUAUUCUAAAAUUGAGAUAAUGAAAAGACAUUAUUCUAGCAUGGAAAAGGGAUUAAGGGAACUUGUUUGGAAUACUGUGCACAAUACCGAUGGCUCUAGUCUUAAAGACAACUUGAAGGGGGGAAAAUCAGGAUGGUGCACAUUCUGCCUUCUUUACGAAGCGUAUAAAAGCCAGAAAGUUUUAAUCUGCUCUUUUUUAGAUUAGAAUUGCAGAUCUUGUCCACCUGGAUGACUCUAUGGGGGACUGGAGAAGUGGUUGAUUAAUAUCACAAAUACUAAUAAUGUUAAACCUGGUUAAUGGAGAAGAGAAACUAUAUUUAUUCUGAGAAUAUAACUCUGUUGGUUUGGUUAACACCUAUUUAAGUGUAAGACUUGGGAGAAAAUCUUUGUGCUAAGGAUUCAACACCCUGUCUCUUCAAUUUAAGGUUGAGAACUCUCCUAAUUUACAUGCAUUAGUCAUCUGAAAAGUCUCCCAGCAAAAAAGCAAAGCUAAGGCUUGACUUUUCCGAUAUUUUUACAGAAAAAAAAUGUUAAAUGUUUUAAACAGACUACACCUAAAAUCACUAGAGGUAGGAAUUUGUGCAAACACUCCCAAAUAAACUGUUAGCCAACAUUUAAAAAGUUCAGAAAACAGGGUUGGGAGACUUAGGGAAGGACCCUUUAAAAUUGCUGCUAUAGCACUGAUGGAAAUCACUUUGCAGCAGGAAUAAGUUACACACAGAAACUUACUUCUUAGAAUUAGCUACUUACAGAAAAAGUAAAGAAAAUACCAUAUUUAUUGUCAUUUAGUCUGCAGUUUGAUAGAGGAAGAUAUAAAUUCACAAAUAUCUUUUCCAACUUGAAGCAGAAUGUGACAGGGAAGCAUUUUCAGGGGCAGAGGUGAAACUAGAAAAAUGAUUUUUCUUAAGUCUCAAAGAGAAAUUUGUCUGUGGUUUUAACAGCUAUGCAUCAACUAAAACAAAUGGUUCUUGUUAAUGGACCAAAGAUCUUAAAUAGUGAGUGGUACUUUGUAGAUGCAUAAGAGCACAAAAUACUGCAGUGCUGAUUGCAUAUUUCACUGGAGAGGGCUAUGUGCAGGAAGUCCUCUUAUUAGACACACCAAUAAUACAGGGCCUGGAAAGCCACAUGUGUGAGACAUGGACAUUCUAUCUCUUGAGUGGGCAGUACUUAGCCAAUUAGUACUGUCAUGGGAUUUUGCCUCCUCAGUAGGGAGUGGAAACCAAGGUAUUUUCUAAUGCUCAUUUGUAAUUGCUUGCUUUCAGUAUAUACAAACCAACUCCCGCCCCCCCACCCCCAAACACACACACUUAUGUAUCCCCAGUUUUCUAUAUCUACACAGUUUUUGCAGCUUGUUCCAUAGAAAAUGCAGUCUUCCUAACAUAAAUGAAGUGCUGCCUUCUAAAACAUGGCUAUUUGUACAUUCAGAUAGGACAUAUGCUGUAGAAUGGGAGCUUUGAAUCUAUGCUAUUUUUUCAAACAGAGAAACGGUCAAACAUCACUGUGAUCCUGACACCUGAGAGGAUUAAUCAAUGGAGAUGACUUCUAUGAAGAGAUCUAGUGAAAGAUUCAGGGGGCAAACCCUCCCUCCCUAAAAGGCAGUGGGUACAGCUGGGAGC